AUUGAACGCUGGCGGCAGGCCUAACACAUGCAAGUCGAACGAGUGGCGGACGGGUGAGUAAUGUCUGGGAACCUGCCUGGUGGCGGGGGAUAACUACUGGAAACGGUAGCUAAUACCGCAUACCAUCAGAUGUGCCCAGAUGGGAUUAGCUGUUUGGUGGGGUAACUGCUCAACAAGGCGACGAUCCCUAGCUGGUCUGAGAGGAUGACCAGCACAACUGGAACUGAGACACGGUCCAGACUCCUACGGGAGGCAGCAGUGGGGAAUAUUGGACAAUGGGGGCAAGCCUGAUGCAGCCAUGCCGCUGGUAUGAAGAAGGCCUUCGGGUUGUAAAGUACUUUCAGCGGGGAGGCGUUACCCGCAGAAGAAGCACCGGCUAACUCCGUGCCAGCAGCCGCGGUAAUUC
rnacentral:rRNA from 1 species